GAUGAACGCUGGCGGCGUGCUUAACACAUGCAAGUCGAACGGUGAAGCCCCGCUUGCGGGGUGGAUCAGUGGCGAACGGGUGAGUAACACGUGAGCAACCUGCCCCAGUCUCUGGGAUAAGCGCUGGAAACGGCGUCUAAUACUGGAUAUGGACCACAGUCGCAUGGCUCGUGGUUGGAAAGAUUUUUCGGUCUGGGAUGGGCUCGCGGCCUAUCAGCUUGUUGGUGAGGUAAUGGCUCACCAAGGCGUCGACGGGUAGCCGGCCGGAGAGGGUGACCGGCCACACUGGGACUGAGACACGGCCCAGACUCCUACGGGAGGCAGCAGUGGGGAAUAUUGCACAAUGGGCGGAAGCCUGAUGCAGCAACGCCGCGUGAGGGAUGACGGCCUUCGGGUUGUAAACCUCUUUUAGCAAGGAAGAAGCUUUUUGUGACGGUACUUGCAGAAAAAGCGCCGGCUAACUACGUGCCAGCCGCCGCCGUAAAAC
rnacentral:rRNA from 1 species